ensembl:snoRNA LOC120102038 small nucleolar RNA SNORA48
AUCCUCCAAGGAAUGGGCAAAGAAACACUUUGUAGGAGGUGUUGAUCUUAUAUUUGUUAGGGGAAGAGCACAUGGCAAUCCUUUGUUCAUCCUAGUUCAAUGUGUACUUUGGUGGCAAUGCCAUUUUAUAGCUAGGGCAUAUAA